rnacentral:rRNA from 1 species
ACGAACGCUGGCGGCGUGCUUAACACAUGCCAGUCGCACGGAAAGGCCCUGCUUUUGUGGGGUGCUCGAGUGGCGAACGGGUGAGUAACACGUGAGUAACCUGCCCUUGACUUUGGGAUAACUUCAGGAAACUGGGGCUAAUACCGGAUAGGAGCUCCUGCUGCAUGGUGGGGGUUGGAAAGUUUCGGCGGUUGGGGAUGGACUCGCGGCUUAUCAGCUUGUUGGUGGGGUAGUGGCUUACCAAGGCUUUGACGGGUAGCCGGCCUGAGAGGGUGACCGGCCACAUUGGGACUGGGAUACGGCCCAGACUCCUACGGGAGGCAGCAGUGGGGAAUAUUGCACAAUGGGCGGAAGCCUGAUGCAGCAACGCCGCGUGCGGGAUGACGGCCUUCGGGUUGUAAACCGCUUUCGCCUGUGACGAAGCGUGAGUGACGGUAAUGGGUAAAGAAGCACCGGCUAACUACGUG